GAUGAACGCUGGCGGCGUGCCUAAUACAUGCAAGUCGAGCGAAUGGAUUAAGAGCUUGCUCUUAUGAAGUUAGCGGCGGACGGGUGAGUAACACGUGGGUAACCUGCCCAUAAGACUGGGAUAACUCCGGGAAACCGGGGCUAAUACCGGAUAAUAUUUUGAACUGCAUGGUUCAAAAUUGAAAGGCGGCUUCGGCUGUCACUUAUGGAUGGACCCGCGUCGCAUUAGCUAGUUGGUGAGGUAACGGCUCACCAAGGCAACGAUGCGUAGCCGACCUGAGAGGGUGAUCGGCCACACUGGGACUGAGACACGGCCCAGACUCCUACGGGAGGCAGCAGUAGGGAAUCUUCCGCAAUGGACGAAAGUCUGACGGAGUAACGCCGCGUGAGUGAUGAAGGCUUUCGGGUCGUAAAACUCUGUUGUUAGGGAAGAACAAGUGCUAGUUGAAUAAACUGGCACCUUGACGGUACCUAACCAGAAAGCCACGGCUAACUACGUGCCAGCAGCCGCCGCAG
rnacentral:rRNA from 1 species